CCUACGGGAGGCAGCAGUAGGGAAUCUUACCGCCAAUUCCGGAGCGAAAGUCCAAUGAUCGGAGCAACGCCGCGUGAGUGAUGAAGGUUUUCGGAUCGUAAAGCUCUGUUGUUAGGGAAGAACAAGUGCGAGAGUAACUGCUCGCACCUUGACGGUACCUAACCAGAAAGCCACGGCUAACUACGUGCCAGCAGCCGCGGUAAUACGUAGGUGGCAAGCGUUGUCCGGAAUUAUUGGGCGUAAAGGGCUCGCAGGCGGUUUCUUAAGUCUGAUGUGAAAGCCCCCGGCUCAACCGGGGAGGGUCAUUGGAAACUGGGAAACUUGAGUGCAGAAGAGGAGAGUGGAAUUCCACGUGUAGCGGUGAAAUGCGUAGAGAUGUGGAGGAACACCAGUGGCGAAGGCGACUCUCUGGUCUGUAACUGACGCUGAGGAGCGAAAGCGUGGGGAGCGAACAGGAUUAGAUACCCUGGUAGUCCACGCCGUAAACGAUGAGUGCUAAGUGUUAGGGGGUUUCCGCCCCUUAGUGCUGCAGCUAACGCAUUAAGCACUCCGCCUGGGGAGUACGGUCGCAAGACUGAAACUCAAAGGAAUUGACGGGGGCCCGCACAAGCGGUGGAGCAUGUGGUUUAAUUCGAAGCAACGCGAAGAACCUUAC
rnacentral:rRNA from 1 species